CCUACGGGAGGCAGCAGUGGGGAAUUUUGGACAAUGGACGCAAGUCUGAUCCAGCCAUGCCGCGUGUGGGAAGAAGGCCUUCGGGUUGUAAACCACUUUUGUCAGGGAAGAAACGGCCUGGGUUAAUACCUUGGGCUAAUGACGGUACCUGAAGAAUAAGCACCGGCUAACUACGUGCCAGCAGCCGCGGUAAUACGUAGGGUGCAAGCGUUAAUCGGAAUUACUGGGCGUAAAGCGUGCGCAGGCGGUUAUGCAAGACAGAUGUGAAAUCCCCGGGCUCAACCUGGGAACUGCAUUUGUGACUGCAUGGCUAGAGUACGGUAGAGGGGGAUGGAAUUCCGCGUGUAGCAGUGAAAUGCGUAGAUAUGCGGAGGAACACCGAUGGCGAAGGCAAUCCCCUGGACCUGUACUGACGCUCAUGCACGAAAGCGUGGGGAGCAAACAGGAUUAGAUACCCUGGUAGUCCACGCCCUAAACGAUGUCAACUGGUUGUUGGGAGGGUUUCUUCUCAGUAACGUAGCUAACGCGUGAAGUUGACCGCCUGGGGGAGGACGGCGCGAGUAGUUAAGUUAAAGUAAGUUAGAGNGNGNGNGNGCGAGCGACGACGAGGAGAGG
rnacentral:rRNA from 1 species